rnacentral:ncRNA from 1 species
CCCUCACAACGGCUUCCUGGCGUGGGGGACAACAAUCACAAUGGAGCG